CUUUGUUCUGAUGAAGAAACAUACUCAUCUACAUCUUCAAUGGCUUGAGGACGAGAAACAUUUAGCACAUUUUUAUUUUUGGAUUAAGUAUGACUAUAAGCAUGCAUUUAAAUUGGAUUGUGAAAGGUUGAAAUAUCAGGGCUUGGUGACAUUAUAACACUUUGAUAAACAGUUUUUCUCCUUGGAAUAACACACACUAAUGAACCAUGCAUGAUAAAACCAGGAACAUGAAGUAAUUAAACGGCAUCAAUGAUGUUGACUGUAGGGCUCUUCAGUGGAAAGACAAAUAUCACGGGUUCAGUUUCAUGAACUCAUAACCCAGGCGCUUGAAAUUGUGAAAAAGUGACAAGAGACAGAUAACAAAGACUGCACCUUCUUGAAUUCCUCACAUUCAGUGCAGUGAUAAUGGGAUGAAGCAAAGUUUCUCAGUGACCUUCAGCUCUCAUUCUCUGACUGUCAUAACCAGAUACAUUGUACAAUAAUGUGCUAACUUUGAAUAGAAACACAAUCAUACACCUAGAGGCCUGGGAUGAAUCUUUUAUAUACAGUAGGUCAGUGUCUAUAAUGACUGCCUGUGGAUAACACAUUAUCAGUUCACAGUGUUCCUGGUUACAGCAUGAUGAUUGUGUGUGUGUGUGUGUGUGUGUGUGUGUGUGUACCAGCCGCUUCCACAGGUGCAGUGGCAUUCCAGAGGCACACUUUCACAUCCACUGUCAUGUGUGAUUUCAUCUAGAUGUCAUUUGAUGAAUCUAUUUUUUGAGGUAGUGUGGCAGCAUUACUGAACAUUCAGUGGACAUUUUUAUACCAUGUUUUAUAUCGUCCUUCAUCAGCAUCAAAUUCAAGCAACUUGACUCCGAUUAGUCUGUGCUUUUACGGACUUAUACAAGCUCUUGCAGAGUAUAAUUAAGAAGAUAAAUUAUAUUAUCGGUCAAAUACAUUUUAAUGUAGAUAUGUUAGUAAAACAAUAUUUAUUUAUAUUAGUUAAUGUUGAAAGUUUUAGAUAUAAUGCUAUGUUCAAUAUGAAAUCGUACUUGUUUAAUAUUUUGCAUUUAUCAUUUAUUUUAUUUUAUUAUCAUUUUUUUAUUAUUUUAUUUUAUUUAUUUUUAUUUUGCACUGAGUGUAUUCUGAACCCUGCAACAUUUCACUGAAGGAUUUGUGCAUUUGUGUUUGAAAAACAUUGCAUCAGUAUCUUUUGAUUUUCUGUCAUCUCUCGAUGUAAAACACAGAAAUGAAACAGUCUCUCAUCCGCAUACUGCAAUAAACACAAUCUACACGCUGAGUUGAGAUG